rnacentral:lncRNA from 1 species
CUAGGGCAGUGCAGUCAGUGUUCGUGACGUGCUUACUUUGUGCUGGCACUGAGCUGCUCCCCUGAGCUGGGAGCAGGCCUGGGGUCAUAGGAUGAACCAGACCAGCUCCUGUCCCUUCCUCUUGCUGCCAGGGCCUGCACAGGACAGGCAUGCUCCAGAUCUCCUCCCUGCACGUCCACAGCCUGCCUCCUGGGUGCAGGGAACUAGGGGGCAGGGACCAGAGCCACAGCCACUUCCUGCCCGCUCUAGAGCAAUGUACCCUGAGGACUCUCAACAGAGCUUUCUUCCAUCGCUUUUCAAGGAAGCAAGAAUUAAGGAAGCAAAGUACAGUUGAGUACAGUUGAGUACUUUGAGUAGUUUGAGUGAGUGCAGGGACGUCUCCUCUCACUGCUAAUUCCACAGGGCUAGACUAGAGCUUGGCACACAGUAGGUAAUAAAUAUGAAGAGAGCUGGGGUGUAGCUCAGUAGUAGACCCUUUCCUGGCAGGUGCAGGGCUCUGGGUUCCAUCUCCCAUGCUGCAAAUAAUAUUAACAAUAAUAAUAAUAAUAAUAAAAAACCAAAAAAUAAACACUAAGAGUGGCCUGCAUCUAGCACUUACUACAUGCAGCUUCUGGUCCAGUACACUAAUUCAAAAAAACGAAUUCUUCCAAUAAACUCUAAAGCAGCUAUUAUGUGCGCAUGUUCCACAUGGGGAGACUGAGGCAUAGAAAAGUGAAGUGCCUUACUCUGUGUGGCCCGGGUAGGAAGUGGUGGAGCUGGGAUUCUAACCAGCAUCGUCCUAGGCUCCAGAACAGACCAAUGGACUCAUGGAAACGGAAGGUUGUGGAUUCUCAUCCCAGCGGUGCAUGGGCAAACCUGGCCCUUUGCUUCUCUGAGCUCCAGUUUCUUCACUGAUAAAGUGAAGUGUGGCUUUGAAAUAGACAGGAAUGAGGUCUACGCAGGGCCUGGCAGGAGCUGGGUACACAAGUGUCCGUCUCUCCCUGUCCCAAGGAGGCCACCUGGGCAAGGCUGAGGAGCAGAGCCUGCCAGGGAGGCACUUGGUGGCACGGGACCCACAGCCAGAGCUGCAGAGCAUCAUGGGGUGUGGGAGCCCCUCCCCCAGACAGCCCUCCCUGCCCUCACCCCAGUGCGGGAGGGCUGCUUGCAGGGGCAAGAGCCAGAGGGGACCCGGCCAGCGCUGGCACCAACACCGCCUUUCCCGCCCUCCCAGGGAGCCUCAGCCCCAGCUGCUCCCGACGUGGGGCCUGCCUCUCCGCUCUUCUGCUGCUCCUGCUGGCAAUGCUUGCUGCCCUUGUCGCCCUGGUUGUCAGCCUUGGACUCCCAUCACGCCCUCCAGACACGGAGCCACACAUUCUGUGCCCACUCACGGAUGCCCAUGGUCCGAGCCUCUGUCUGCACAUCCGUGACGUGGCUCAUGCAUGCACUGAUGCACAUGGACAGACCAGCAGCCACCGUGGUUAGCACACAGUCUGUGGGUCAAGGUGACCGGCCGCUCAGCUGCGGGUUUCUCUCCUCUGACUCUCCGAGGGAGCCCCAGGGUGGAUGGCCUGGCCCUCCCCCAGUGGGAGGCUAAUGAUGACACUUCGCAGGGCUUUUUGGGGGACUAGAAUAAAUGUGCAAAGGUGCUUUGCAU